rnacentral:tRNA from 1 species
AAGGGCUUAGCUUAAUUAAAGCGAUUGUUUGCGUUCAGUUGAUGUGAGAUAGAUUCUUGCAGUCCUUA